rnacentral:lncRNA from 1 species
GCCCCCAGCUGGGACAAGAUGCACCUCGAUGGUCCCGGGAUGGGGGUGAGUGACAGCUGGCCGGCCGGGUGGGUCAGAGGACGGGCCCCGCCCACACUUUCUUCACUUCCUUCCACGGGGGGGGGGGGGGGCGCAGGGGGGGGGGUGGCGGGGGAUUUGCUGACACUGCUCCUCUCUGGCGGCUUUGACUUUCAGAAGGAGUAAGGUCUUCAGCCUGAGGAGGGGCUCCAGGGAGCCAGAGCCCCUGAGAGCACCAACCUCCACCCAGUGCGGUGGGCGGGGGGGCUUCCUGGGCCUGGACGUGACCCCCAGAAGAAAGGGCCACUGUCACUGAACAUCUAGGGGUCUGGACCUCACAGAGCCCGUCUCUGGAAACCCCACGCCUCCCUCCAGUUGACCUCUCCCAGGCCCCGGGGCGAUCACCCCGGAGAUUCCCCUGCGCCCUGCCAGAGUGGGAAGUUCCUGAGCACCUGCCCACCCGGCUCCCCCCCCUCCUUCCCCCCCCCCCUCCCCGCAGCCACUCCUGGGCUCAAGGCCUCGGUGUCAGAUUCCCCCUCCCCCAACCUCCUCUGGGUGGGAAACAGCCCGGGGACAAAACAUGCUGCCUGUGCCCACCGGGUAGCACGUGAGAGAAGAAAGAGAAGCCACACUGUUUGUCAUGGAGAGAUGGUGACGACUGGGGGACCGUCUGUGUCCCAAACUCAGAGAGCACCAGACUGGUUUGGUUUAUUUUUAAGGUCUCUGAGGAAGAAGCUCUGAGACCGCGCUUCUCCGGUCAGCCGGGAGGGGGCAGUGCUCCCUGAGCGGCCGGUCGGGCCUGGGUCUCUCGCUCCCGGCUCGAGAGGCAGACCCCGGGUCAGUGGGCAAGCCCCUCCGGCCUCCUCGUCCCACCGUCCCUGCGUCCUGGCCCCACCGCCGGGAGAGCUCUGAGGGAGCUGUGUCCCCCUGGUUUGGGGUGGAAGAUGUGCUUCUGAUGAUUUUCCCAGACACAGGAAUAAACAUGCAGAUAAGCGUGUGCAUCCAACAGUGAGUGUCCCCGCUGUCCCCACUCGUCCUGGGAGAGAGGCAGACAGUGAGUGGGGGGCGUGCUGGGGCCGAGGCUCCAGUGUCUCCGUUCCCAGCCAUGUGGCUGUCACCCCCAGGACCCUUCCUAGGGCUGGACGGAGUGGACAGUGGGAACCAGCCUGUCCAGGACCCCAGGCUGGACAGUGUGGACGGGGAGAACCAGCCUUCCCAGGACCCCGUCGCUGUGUAGACCGGUCCCUCCUCAGACAAAGGAAGCUCCUUUCUUUCUUCCGCCCUGCGGGGCCGGUGAGGAGCCUGUCGUCUCCUGUCUCAGCCCCUGUCCCGGCCACCAGCUGUCCCCCAGGACCAGGGGCCGUGGCUGGUGUGGGACAUGCUGAGGAAAGUACAGGGCAGCUCUCUGGCCCGUGUGUCCCACCCCCCACACUCGGGUUCCAUCAACAUCCAGUUCAUCUCCCAGAAGGGUCCGCUCCCUGA